UGGUGACAUAGCUGGGGCCCCAGCUUCCUCCCCAGAGGCGCCCCCAGCCGAGCAGGACCCCGUUCAGCUGAAGACGCAGCUGGAGUGGACAGAAGCCAUCCUGGAGGAUGAGCAGACACAGCGGCAGAAGCUCACGGCCGAGUUUGAGGAGGCUCAGACCUCGGCAUGUCGGUUACAAGAAGAAUUGGAGAAGCUCCGCACAGCCGGCCCCCUAGAGUCUUCAGAAACAGAGGAGGCCUCACAGCUGAAGGCAGAGACUAGAAAAAGAGAAGAAGUUAACAAGUGACCUGGGGCGCGCCGCCACGAGACUGCAGGAGCUUCUGAAGACGACCCAGGAGCAGCUGGCAAGGGAGAAGGACACGGUGAAGAAGCUGCAGGAACAGCUGGAAAAGGCAGAGGACGGCAGCAGCUCAAAGGAGGGCACCUCUGUCUGAGUUUCCUCUUUGGAAAAAGAAGUUACUGUUCAACUUACCAAAAUGCCUUACACAUUCCUUACAAAUAAACCAACCAACCUACACAGCGUUAUCCAGGCCCAACUUCCGGUAGCUCCGAGAGAAGCCAUGAGAGACAAGUCUCUUAGAGCCACAGAAGUAGACCUUCCAGAGCCCCAGUUUGUAAAUGAACCUGUGUCACAUUUGAUAAACACUAUCCUGGGCGCAGCCCCGGGCCACCGCCGAGUGACGCCAAAGCCCUGGUUGACUCUGACAGCCCCGUGGGUGUGUGGGAGGCCGGGCGCUCUGGGGUCUGUCUGUCAGUGCAAUCGUUUAGUGUUUUUUCAGUGGGGCGGGGCGGGAAGCGGGUGGGACCGGGCAGCCAGUUCUCAAAGGCUGUGGGGCCGACUGGAGGCCACAGCCCCUCACCCCUAGACGUUGCCAACCAGAACUGACGUGUGACCUCCUGGGUGUUGAUGCCAUUAAAACCAACGUUGGUGCCCGGU
rnacentral:lncRNA from 1 species